rnacentral:rRNA from 1 species
UACAGAGGGGGCAAGCGUUGUUCGGAAUUACUGGGCGUAAAGGGCGCGUAGGCGGCCUGUUAAGUCGGACGUGAAAUCCCUCGGCUCAACCGGGGAACUGCGUCUGAUACUGGCGGGCUUGAAUUCGGGAGAGGGAUGUGGAAUUCCAGGUGUAGCGGUGAAAUGCGUAGAUAUGACAUAGAACACCAAUUGCGAAGGCAGCUCACUACACGGUCAUUGACUCUGAGGCACGAAAGCGUGGGGAUCAAACAGG